GCGCCCGUAGUUCAACUGGAUAGAGCACGAGCCUUCUAAGCUUGGAGUUGCAGGUUCGAGUCCUGCCGGGCGCGCCA
rnacentral:tRNA from 59 species